rnacentral:rRNA from 1 species
CGUGGAGGAAGAAGGCCUUCGGGUUGUAAACUCCUGUCAGGGGGAAAGAAGGCACCUGGGUUAAUAGCCCAAGGGCUGACGGUACCCCCAAAGGAAGCCACGGCUAACUACGUGC